UCUCUCUCUCUCUCUCUCUCUCUCUCUCUCUCUCUCUCUCUCUUUUCCUUUCCAACUUGGGACACUUGGUGGGCAGCGCCUAAACACAGAGGCAACUGCAGGCUUCUGGCCAGGGCCACUCUGAAGGACAAUUUUUUAUCUUUUCCAGUUGUGGUCCCUGAUCCCUACAUUUGGUGCAGCUCGGGCAAACUCACAUGAGUUUCAGCAAUGUGUUUGUCUGCAUACAGUUAAGCAGGGCCACUAGGGCCACUCAGGGAGAAAGAACUCAGAAGCCUGACAUGCCAGCAAAAAGGUAAAGAAAGCUUUUUAUGGUUUGGAUCUUCUGAGAACAUCAGAGAAAGACUGUCCUUGCCAUCCACACUACAGCAAAAUUUUGGGACCUUGAACUUUGGGUUUAUAAUCUCACAACUGAGAAGGGUCCCUCCACAUUCUUGGAACUGUAUAUCCAUUGGAAUCCUUAAGGUAAAGCUAACUAGGGAAGUUUCUCCCCAGAAUAAGAUGGCAUACUUGAUGUGAACAGCUUUUCCCAGGAUCAUGAAUCAAGACUUCUCAACUAUCAUGAGAUCCUUAUCUUUGAAUAUUUUUUUCCUUGCCUAUGCCACUACGAAUAAUAGAAGUGGAAAAGGGGUCUGUUAUGUGCACUUAUGGGGUAUACUUUUAUUUGUGAAGGAGUUUGCAGCUAGUCUUAUACAUGGAUAACCUUGUACUUUGAUAGAUAAAAGAUGGAGGCCCAAUGUAGGUGAGAAACCUUAAUGGUACAUACAUUGCCUCACAAUCAGUCAGAAACAGAACAUUGGUUCACUCCUCUUAAUGCACAUCAUAGGUUAAAGAGAACAUUGUCAGGAGGCCUUCACUCUUCUAGAAGGGCAUCAUUAGUUAGGUCCUUUUCCAUGGUUUGGAGUAAAAUAAGCAAUGAUUAGAAAUGUAUCCCUCAAG
rnacentral:lncRNA from 1 species